CGCCAGCAGGUGGCGGCAGCGAGCAGCCCCACGCGCAGCUCUCCCCCUUGGCCGCGCGUGCGCCGCUCCGCGAACCGUCGUUCGUCCCUUCGCUUGUUGGAGUCGUGCUGCUCAUGUGUACGCAGUGUUGCUGGUUGUUUUUAUGUUUUAGCAGUUUUAUUACUGCUUUUUAAUUGCGCAUGCACGACACUGCAGAGUUCGUGUGCACGGGUGGGAUCCUCUGCUGCACACUGUGGGCGGUGUAAACGAGCAGAAGAGCUCAGCCGGUGCUUGGGUUUGGGAGGAGCGCAGCAGUGCGCGACGUUUGCAACAAGGCAGGGCAGUGCAGUGCAGUGCAAACAACCUGGCAGGAGCCCAGGAUGGACACUUGGAUCAUGUCCAGCAGAGCACCAAAGGCACUGAACGCCUUUGCAUCCUGUCAAUCUCACAGCUCUUAACUGGCCCCAGGAUGGGACUGAGGCCCUCAAUUCUGCAGCUUGUUCCCAUUCACACGUGGAUCUGUCAUCACUGGCCUCGUUAGGGCGAUCUGGGCCCACCACUGAGGAUGAGGUAUGCCUAUGAAUUGCUAAAACAAGCAACAAGCCACAGUUACUCCUCACGUCUUGAAACCCUGGGAACAAAUAGGGCGCAUGCAUGUGUGGAUGAGAGAAAAUGCAUGUUUGCACAGACACCUGCAUGGACACACGUGCGAUGUGCUAACGAAAAUCCGCUUGCAUGGACCCAAAGAGCUUGCACAGAUAGGUGUGCCCGUGGACAGAGAUCUCACAGCACAGCUACACAGAUGACAACUAAUCUGGCCACUCCCAGGCUCUACGCAUCUAAAGCUGCGGGGCAUCAGGGCUGCAAGACAGUUCUCCUUUGAGAAGGCAGCUGGGUCUGGUGGCACCAUUCUUCCCAGCUGGUGCAUUCAGACCCUCUACUCUUCACCAAUUCCACUGUGGCGUUCCCCCCGUCACUCAUUUCCACUGAAGCUCGACAAGGCUGUAGGAGACCAAACGUACGUAUCACUUCAGCCUCAUUUGUACGUGGAGCUCCUUACAUUGCUCACCUUCAUGGAAUGGCGUUUGUUACAAAGACCGAGGAAAAUUUUUUUUAAAUAUCCUUCAAGUCAUGUUUUUAUUAGGGCAUCAGAACCCAUGCUUGUAACCCUAAAUGUAUUUGAGUGUAUAUAAAAUACUGACUACUUCCCUGUAUGACAUUUUCUUAUGCAGUACCAUCUAACUCAGCAAGGAUUGAACAUUUAUUAUAAACUUCAAUUCACCUUCUUCAGAAACAAGUUAGAAACAUCCUCACAUAUGCCUGGACCUUCACUUUUCAGACGAAUGUCCCGGAGCUGUAUUUCAACUCAUUACUGAAUAAUACUUUUAAGUGUUGGCACCAAAUGCCUAAAAAUACCAAAAUGGACACAGAAAUAUGCCAUUUCCUUAGCGUUCCAUUUUUUUUUCAAAUCUUACAGAUGACAGGCCAACUCAUGUAAUGCUAGCAAAGUUAACUCUACAAAUCACGAGUUCAUUUCAGCUGGUAAUGCACAUCCUUUCAUCUGCACAAGUUAGUUUUACAUACUGCAACAAUAAACUAGACUCAUGGCAAUUCAACAUACUGCACUCUUUGCAGAUACAUUGUUACUGUGGUAAUCACAAAACUAACACAUAUCUGUAGGAAAUGCAAUUCCAAUACAUGUAUAAGAAUUUAUUGUACCACCAUUUAUAUAAAGCAUUUCAAUCCAAAAUGGUUAGAACUAUCUUAUAUAUCUGGAUAAGAAUUUAGAAACAUUAGUAAAGAUAUCCCACAGACUCCAGCUUUCUAUGUUUUCAUGUGUAAGCUCUGGUAGAUAUCCACAUUUAAAUGAAAUGGACAAUACCAGUAGAGAUGCAUACCUCUUUCAUCUUUAUUUAUAAAGAAGUGACAACACUAGAAAACACAUUGAUAACUGGUGCUUUGAACAGUGAAGGUGGGAUCUAAAAAAAGUCCGAUUACACUAAACAACCAGAGGUCUUUGUCAAGUUGCAUAUCUGCCAGGAAUGCUGAAAUGCAAGAGUUUACACCUGCAAUAUUCCAUAAUGGAAUAGCCACAUGAUAUCAAAUAUAAUCUCAGAUUUCCAAACUGGUACAUAAAAAAGCCAUCACCAAGUAUUAAAAGACCACUGCAAGUUCUUAUUGCUUUUUGAGUUAAACAAUAAUCUUCAAAUAAGCCUAAACCCAAACAAUCUCUACAGUAUCUUGCUCAUCCUCCUGUUCAUUCAUUAACAAUGGAAGCAAUCAGUUAUAUGAUGCAGCAAAAGAGGCAUUUAAGAACACCCAAACGAAACCUAUUUAAAUACAUGGGCAUC